rnacentral:tRNA from 1 species
CGGGCCGUAGCGCAGAGGUCGUCGCGCCUUUUGUCAGAGGGGAAGACGCCGGUUCGAAUCCGGUCGGCCCGC